GGGCUGUUGGUUUAGUGGUAUAAUACCCCCUUAGCAUUAGCCCAAAGGCAUGGGGGUGGUCCGGAGUUCGAUUCUCCGACAGUCCA